UGCAGUAAUGAAUGUAUAAAUAUAUAAGAUUUACUAUAAUGGAUUAUAACCAUGUAUUACUUGUACUAUAUACAUCUUUUAAAUGUUUUACUCUAAGCUGUUAGAGCUAACAAACUUUUUAUCAUGUAGCAGUGAUUCUUACUAUCUCGGUUGAUUACGUGACCUCAAACCAACGCUUUGUUAAUUAGUACCAACUGAUUAUAUGACAUUGGAUUGUCCUCUACAGUUGUGUAGUUCAUUAUGUCUUCUGUGGUACAGCUUCUAUUAUGGGAUACCUACCCUUUGAAGUAACCUCCUGCGAAAGGUUUCAAGGCGAGCGCUCUGCCGGCAGCUGCGACAUUCAUGUGUUUCAGGUUGUAUAUGUUGGGGAGAUUGUGAUGGACCGGCUAAUUCAUCAGCUGUUGGCCGCUGUCUAGCAACACCAGCUGGGGUAUUCACUGUUGAAGGUGUCUGGGAUAUAGCUGAAGUUGAAGGUUGUACUCGUCUAGAAGGGUGGGAUGGUCCAGCUAAUUCAGCAGUCAUUGCUCGCCGCAUUGCAACAUUAGCUCGUGUAUUAGACGACGACCUAUCUACAGAUAGCCAUACUCCAUCUGUUGAAGAUGCCUGGGAUACAGCUGAAGCUGGAGCCGAUCUUAGAAUAUCACGAUCAUCUUGAAAGAAGGAAUCUCUUGAACUCUGACUUGGUGGAACUACAGAUCCAGGGCUUGAAGGUGGUGAAUCUAUGAUGCUUGAAUUUGGGCUUGAUGGUGAACUAGCUGAUGCAGCGAUAUGACAGCAGAGGAGAUCCUAACUGUCCAUUAUGGACAGUUUAGGGAAUAUGUGGCAGAAUGCAGCCACGAACUGGAAGAGGAGGAAGAAGAGGAGGAAGAAGAAAUAGAAGAAGAUGAAGGAAUCGAGGCUGAUUUAGAAGAAAAUUGAUGGCUGCCCCUCUCCUCCUCCUCUACUAGCAUUAAGUAUUUAGUUAUAAGUUUGUGUAAAUAAUAUAAAAU